AUUGAACGCUGGCGGCAGGCCUAACACAUGCAAGUCGAACGAGUGGCGGACGGGUGAGUAAUGUCUGGGAAACUGCCUGAUGGAGGGGGAUAACUACUGGAAACGGUAGCUAAUACCGCAUACCAUCGGAUGUGCCCAGAUGGGAUUAGCUAGUAGGUGGGGUAAAGGCUAACCUAGGCGACGAUCCCUAGCUGGUCGGAGAGGAUGACCAGCUGCACUUGAACUGGGCCACGGUCCAGACUCCUACGGGAGGCAGAAGUGGGGAAUAUUGCACAAUGGGGGCAAGCCUGGUGAAGCCAUGCCGCGUGUAUGAAGAAGGCCUUCGGGUUGUAAAGUACUUUCAGCGGGGAGGCGUUACCCGCAGAAGAAGCACCGGCUAACUCCGUGCCAGCCGCCGCGGUAAUAC
rnacentral:rRNA from 1 species